rnacentral:rRNA from 1 species
CAGUAGCCACGGGAAUACAGAGGGUGCGAGCGUUAAUCGGAUUUACUGGGCGUAAAGCGUGCGUAGGCGGCUAAUUGAGUCGGAUGUGAAAUCCCCGAGCUUAACUUGGGAAUUGCAUUCGAUACUGGUUAGCUAGAGUGUGGGAGAGGAUGGUAGAAUUCCAGGUGUAGCGGUGAAAUGCGUAGAGAUCUGGAGGAAUACCGAUGGCGAAGGCAGCCAUCUGGCCUAAUACUGACGCUGAGGUACGAAAGCAUGGGGAGCAAACAGGAUUAGAGACCCGUGUAGUCCCUGUCUCUUAUAC